rnacentral:lncRNA from 1 species
AUAAACAUUGUCUGCACAAGGCCAUAGUUUGUGUUUUACAUCGAAGAUAAGAAUCUUAUAGAGUCAAAUCAAACUUGUAAGUUUGCAUGCAAUUCUAUUCUAACAUUCUUACAUAAUAUUUGGCAAGUCUGUGUCAUUAAAAUUUACUGGAAAUGAAAGUGUUUGCAUAUCUUUACACAAAAUGUGUAGAAGUAAAUUGUAAAAAGUUGUAAUUAUAUAUCAUUGUGUGACACCUGCACAUUAAAAUAUCUCAUCUAGUUCAGGAACAACCCGUACACAUUGGGGACAACACAUGUUAGUGUGUUGCUUGGUAGAUUUUGAGAUAAAUCAGUGUUAAACAUUUCAGAUUUAUUUGUAAAAAACUGCAUUCGUAAUGACUAUUUACAUCCUUCUCACUGGAAUCUUUACCUCGGAGAUUGAUUUGAUAGAAAGCUCUUUUGCAUAGGUCUCAUUUGCAGUACAUACUGCUUUGCAGUAGGAGCCAAUAAGGAGUCUGUCUUGCCAUUUGAUCUAUCUUUGAGGGCGUUCAAAGGUGCGUAAUCAACAUUAAAGUAUGAUGAUCCUUGUUGCAUCUGUGCUUGACAAUGUAUCAUUGUGGGUGAGUCUGCAAUGUUAGCAGUAAAUAAUUGGUUACAACUAUACCAUUAGAAAAAAGCAUUUGAGUUGUUGGUGUUCAUAUUAUAACAUGUGUAAUUAAAGUUUAAUAUUUUACGAGACUUGUAGACAUCUUGGUGAGUUGGAUUAUUGAGCCUGUCACCUGAUAAUUUUUUGCCAGCAGUCUAGUAAUGACAACAAAAGUAGCCCUCUCUUCCACGUCCAUGAUUAAAGUCAUGGAUCGGAGUUUAUCAACUGAGAUGAGUUAAGUACUUUACAAAAUGAUAUGUUUUGUUAGCAAGAAACAUGUAAACCACCGUAAUGAGAUUAUUAGUUGUUAAGAAAUUAUAAUUACCAGAACGAGAAACCAACACAGUAAGAAAUUAGGGAUAAGCAUCAGAUUCAAGCAAAUUAUAUCUCAGUGUUUCUCAGUGUCACUGUUAGCUUGUGACUUGAUGCUUAAAGUUUAGGGUAAUUACAUCUUCUUCUGAUUAUUAGCACUUAUUUAAACUAAUUGUGAUAUUUAUUUAUAGCUCCAUAUACAAGUUUCCGUGCUCAAUCUCCAGGACUUGUUUGGGAACAGGAUGUUUGUUACGCUUGUCCGACAUCACAAGUUAGGUCGUGCGCCAAAAUUGCUUUUAUGAACUUAUCUUGAUUAAAUGACUUACUUUAAAUAUUAUGGCUUGUUAUUUCUUAAUGUACAGGCAAUGCUUAUCGACUUUUUAAAAUUUCUUCUCCAGACCAAACGCAGAAAAUCACACAUAUCGAGGAUGGACGGAUAAAAGCAUCCCGAAAAGAUUAUAAUAUAGGUUGUACCAAUUUAUAAUUUAAUAUUUAUGAUAUCUUCAAAUUUUACUCCAAACUACAGCCUAAUUAUUUCCUAACAAGUUAGGAUAUCUAAAUUCAUUCCUUAAAAAGUAGCAGUUCCAAAUUAUAAUUUAAAAAUUACGAUAUUUUUAAAUAUCAAUCCAAACUACAUCUUAAUUAUUUCUUCAUACGUUAGAAUAUUUAAAUUCAUUCCUUAAAAAGUACAAGUUCCUUAUCUUAUGUUUAAGAAUAAAAUAUUCAUUUUCUUCUUCUUUUCACUUUUUCCCUCCACAUUGCUUCCCUUGUAAUAGACUUUGAUUUUAAAUAUAUAUAAUAAUAAUAGGGAGUAUAAGAAUUGUUGUAUGUAAUUUAGUAUAAAUUCUAAUCUAUUGCAAGUUAAAUUUAUUAUGCUUAAGAAUAAAAUAUUUAUUUUCUUCUUUUUCACUUUCUUCUGUCCUUGUUUCACAUUUUUUUCUUUCUAAUGGAGUUUGAUUAUAAACAUAUAAAAAUAGCAAAGAGUACAAGAAUUGUUCGAAUUGUAAUUUAAUAUAAUAUCCUAAUCUACUUUGAUUUAAAUUUAUUAUUAUAUAUUUAAGAACUUGCUGGGGGAUCGCCCUUAGAGAUCCGGUAUGUCAGAUUCAUACGCGGGUUUUUUCUUUUAAAACUUGAGGUAUUUGAUUGGAGUGUUUUAUUAUUUAUUUUAUUCGUAUAGCAAACUGAAACGGAAUACUUCAGCAUUGUCAACUAGAGCAUAGAAUUUCAAAAACUUAUGAAAAGCAUACCAGGGAAACUUGAGGUUACGAGAUCCUGCACCUUAUUCUAAAAAAAACAACAAAAAAGUUCCACCCAGCUGACUUUAAAGACCUGGGCAGACUAGUCUGAUCAGCCGUUCAAGUUCUUUAUCUGAGAGCACUGGCCAAAUGAAGGUUUCUGCAAUGCACUGAGAAGUCUGCAGACAUCAGAAUCAGAUUACCUCAACUAAGGUCAUCAGACAUCAGUAUCUAAAAGUAGUGAAGAAGAGAAAUUAGAAACGGGUUAAUUAUCAAGUUAGUCACUGAAAUGAACUUAAUGUAUCAAGUUGGCCACUGAACUCAAAACGGUAUCAAGAUGAUCACUAAAGUCACCAUAAAUAUCAAACAAGUACCUUGAAAUAUGAGUUCAAAUAAUAAAAAUAUUAUUUAUAAAGUUUUAUACAUUAUUUUUACAUGUUACCACAACCAACUAUAAGGUUAUGACUUCUAGUAUUUAAAAUAAUAUAUAUUUAUAUUUUAUCAAAUUUAUUUAUUAUUUAUAUUUUAUUAUAUAAUUAUUUUCUUUGUUUUAUUUAAAAAUAAAUAAUAAAUAAAUUUAAUAAAAUCUAAAUAUAUUAUGAUAUAUAUUAGAAGUCAUAACCUUUUACUUGGUUUUGAUAACAUUCAAAAAUAAUGUGUAAAACUUUAUAAAUAAUAUUUUUAUUGCUUGAAUUCAUAUUUUAAGGUACUUAUUUGAUAUUUAUGGCCACUUCAGUGACCAUCUUGAUACCGUUGAUACCGUUUUGAGUUCAGUGACCAACUUGAUAUAUUAUGCCCACUUCAGUGACCAAUUAGAUAAUUAACCCAAUUAGAAACCUAUGACCAGUGACAGAUUAUAGGGUGCACAAGACAGUCACUGCAAGCAAGGAACUGGUUCCACCUUCCUCAUUGGCAAGGCUUCAUAAAGCCACAAAAAGAUCAUCGCUCUCCCUGAUGAAAGAUGGAACCAAAUCUGUUCUGAGGAUUGAAUAAUUUGUCGGGUACCUCUUCUUCCUAUCAUAUAUGUACUCAAUAGUCAAUACACUUCCUUACUGCAUAACAAAAAGAAACCAGUCAUCAAGCUUUCCCUAUUGCAUAACAAAAAAACCAAGAAUCAAGCAUUCGGAUCGAAAUCAAAAAACAUAUAUAAAAACCUUUUCUCCCUCCCCAAUCCCCAUGAUCAAAUUCAUGAGCUCGAAACCUCACUCUCCCCCGAAAUACUUAAUAAAAUAAUCCAUUAAAAUAUAUGUAACAAAUCCAUUAAUUGAUUUUGCAGUUUUUUUUCUUUUUUUUUUGCUAAAUCUCUUUAGUUGUUUUGGCAGUUUUGAUUAUACAAUUUCAACUCAGUAGCUUAGUAUUUGAAAUGGACUACUAUCAAGCAGCAUUGAUAAAACUGGUAACUGAAGUAACUAUGGAAAGUAAGCCAUACACAUACAAGCUCUUUAUCUCAUUUCGUUGAUAAUUCAAAACUGCAAUUAAGCUAUAUUAAGUCUUUUAGUUAUUUCACAUAAUAAAGACAUUAAGAUAAAAAAAUCUAUAAACAAAAAGUCAAUGUAGUGCAGAGAAGCUCCAUUCUUAAAUUUAAAUUCAACAAAAUUAUAUCAAAAUAACACCCAAUCAUUUGUAAUCAGUCAGACAAGAACUGCAAAUUUAACGACGACAUUUGAAAUGAAUACUGCCAGGGUAGCAGACCCUAGAAAUUAAAAUGUUGGCAAAUUGAAAAUUAUGUACCUUCGCAAUCUCUCACUCUGUUAGACCUAUGGCAAAUACUUAUUAUGCAGAGCAAGAAAAGCAGGUUCCUGUUCUUGUGAUUUAAGUAGGAAAUUUCCGUGCUUGCACCUGUCUGCAUGUACGAAAAUAACCUUGCAAUAUAGUGCGUUAAAUCUGAAUAGUUGGUGUCAAAUCUUGAAAAAUGCUGGCGAAAUCAAAAAGUGGGCCCUCUCUUUCUUUGUCACACCUAUGGAAAGUACUUCUCACGCAAGGCAAGGAGAGGAGCAUCCGGUUCAUGCACUUCAAUUUAGUCUAGUAACGCAGAUGCCGUAGAUGCAUCUGCUGCAAACCGACGACCAAGCAUUUCAUCUAGGAGUACACCUGCUUCACAGUAAUUCUUAUUCUGUAAACAACCGCGGAUAAGCAUGUUGUAUGUGACAUCAUUAGGCAAGCAAUCAUUAGCUUCCGUUUCCCUGAAUAGUUCAUUCGCUUCAUCCAAAAACCCUUCAUGAAAAUAUGCUUCGAUCAUCACUGUUUAUGUCUUGACAUCAGAUCGUACACAUUUCAUAGAAAGGUUAAAAAGGCUUCUUGUGUUCUCCAGAUGUCCAUUUUUGCUUAGUCCAUCAAUCAGAAUAGUGUAAACCUGUAUAUCAGGAAUCACAAGUUAGUUAAGCUUAUUGUGAUACUUGUUUAUGGCUACAUAUUGAAGUUUUAGUGCUCAAUCUCCGGGAGAACAUGUUUGCUUGUUUGGGAACAGGUUUAGGUUUCUGUUAUUUAUUUGAAUCAGGCAAGUGGUUUUUAGUAGUACUGAUAAAUUAGUCUGAUGCAAGUCCGAAUAACAACAUUGCAAAUACUUUAACUGAGAAGCAGCCCAAUGUAGUACUGUACAGAGGGGCACAAGGCUAGUGAACAAAUAGCUGGCAGAGUGCUUAUAGACUUGCCUUGAUUAGAAGACUUUAGUUUAACUAUUCGCACUUGCAAUUUCUUAACAUUUAGUCAAUGCUUAUCAGCUUCUUCAUAUCUCUGCUUGAGAACUUAAAACACAGAAACACAAAUAUUUAAGAUGGAAGGAAAAGAAACUUGGUAUGUUAGAUUCAUGUGCCGGUAUUUUCUUGGAGAAAAGUUGGCAUGUUUUGCCUUUUCGUGUACUAUGCAUCCAUCAGAAUUUACAUGUAUAAACAACAGGGCUAGCAGUUGAACAAAAAUUCAUACAGGAACCAUUUGAUCGAAUAUCAUAACAAGAAAUAAAGGUCUUAUUUCGAGAUUUUAACUAAGCAAAAGAAGCGGAUAAUCAAGCUAUUAAAAUCCAGAUUAGAAUUAUAUGAAGCAAUUAUUGCCAGAAUUUCUUACACAAAGCAGGAAGAGCAGGAACCUGUAUUUCAAUUCAAGUAAUCUCAGGUCCAAGGACAUUGAAAUGCAUCUCCGGAGCCUUGAGCACACAUUGCUUCUACAAGUACAAUUGCUUCACUAUACUUCUUAUUGUGAAAACAGCCGUGGACAAGUGUUUUGUAGGUAGCAUUAGGCAAGCAAAUACUAGCUUCCAUUUUCACAAAAAGUUUAUUAGCUUCAUCCAGUAACCCCCCUUGACAAAAUGUGUAAAUAUUGACAAAAUGUCAAUCUUUGCUUCCACAUGCCUGCCUGUAAAAAAAAACAUUGCAAUAUAGUUCUUUAAAUCUCAAAUGUUGGUUUUAAACCUUCAAAAUGUUGUCAAAAUCGAGAAGAUUAUGUACCUGGGCACUCUCUUUCUCUGUCACACUUACGGAAAGUACUUCUCACGCAAGGCAAGGAGAGUAGGAUCCGGUUCUUGCACUUCAAGUAAGUCUAGUAACACAGAUGUUGUAGAUGCAUCUGCUGCAAAGCGGCGACCAAGCAUUUCAUCUAGUAGUACAUCUGCUUCGUAGUACUUAUUAUUCUGUAAACAACAGCGUAUAAGUGUGUUGUAUGUGACAUCAUUAGGCAAGCAAUCAUGAGCUUUCAUUUCCCUGAAUAGUUCAUUUGCUUCAUCCAAUAACCCUUCAAGACAAUAUGCUUGGAUCAUCACUGUGUAUGUCUUGACAUUAGGUCGCAAACCUUUCGCAGGAAGGUUGUCAAAAAGGCUUCUUGCAUUCUCGAGAUGUCCAUUUUUGCUUAGUCCAUCAAUCAGAAUAGUGUAAACCUGUAUAUCAGCAACUAACCCACUAUACUCUAGUAUUUGAAAAAACGAUAGUGCUUCAAAUACAUAACAAUUCUGGCACAGACCAUGCAACAAGAUACGACAUGUCACUUUAUCCAACUCAACACCUUGGUUGAUCAUCUUUUCCUUAAAAAAAUUACGUGCUUCAACAUGCCUGCCCACAUGAAAAAAACCUUGCAGUAUAGUACUGUAAGUCUGAAUAGUUGGGGUUAAACAUUCAGAGGGCAUUUGUUGAAAAAGAUCUAUGGCUCUGUCCACUUUCUUCUUUCUACAGUACCCGUUGAUGAGGAUAUUAUAGAUAAAAGCAUCAAGCAAUAUUCCCUUUCUAGUCAUGCUUUCGAACACUAGUAAAGCUUUAUUAACCUCUCCCUGCAAGCAGUAUCCAUCCAUUAGUGAAUUGUAAGUGACUACAUUAGGAUAAUGGCCUCUUUGAGUCAUCAACUCUAUCACAUCCUCUGCAUCUUCAAUCAUUCCUUCUUUGCAAUACGCAUCAAUCAAUAUACUGUAAGUAAAAACAUUUUGAGAAAUGUUCCUAAGAUCCAUCUCCUUGAGCAAUUGUUUGACAUCAUGCCAUCGAUUAAAGUCACACAACCCUUGAAUUAAAGAGCUGUAGGUCAUAACAUUUGGUGAUAUGCCUUUCCUUGUCAUUUGGUGGAGAAGACCCAAUGCUUGAUCGAUUAAUCUAUGUUUACACAAACAGUCAAUAAUUGUGGUGUAAGUUACAGUAUUAGGCCUGCAACCUUUCUUCUCCAUAAUUUUAAACAACUUAACAGCCACAGAAGGAUUCCCUCUCUUGCAGAUGCCGUCAAUGAUAAUUGUAUAGGUAACAACAUCGGGUUGAAUAAGUUGAAAUCUGAUGAGGUUCUGGAACAAAAGCUGAGCCUCUUGAAGCAUAUCUUGGGAANUAGAGUGUUAUAAGUAAACACGUCAGGGACAAAACCGUGCUUGAUGAUUCCAGCCAGUAAUGAAAAGGCAAAAUCGACACGAUCCAAGUGACAAAAACAGUUGAUAAUAGUAUUAAAGGUAAUUACAUUAACAGGGACGCUUUCUACACACAUCUUUCUAAAAACGGACACAGCUACAGAGUAGUCUUUCAUCUUAACAACAGCAGCUAAGAGUUGAUUGAAUUUAGGAACAGGGAGCAUUUUAUCAAACACCUGAAGAGCAUCAUCGAGUUUAUCGAAACCAACCUUUGAUUUCUCAUAAAGUAAUUGCUGAAGUCUCGCAUGAGAUGUAUUGGGAAAAUGAGGAACAUAGGGGUGUUUGGGGUUAGGUUUAGUGGAGAACAUACGAAAAUGAGCAUUGAAUUGAAACAAUGCGAGAGAACUAGUAGUUGCAGACUCAGCUGCAGAUCGUAGAAAUGGUAGCAUUGGUCUUAAGGAAGCCAGACUCCUCAUCGUUGCUCUCACUUCUUGCCGGUGCUCUCACUUCACUGGGUUGAGUUGCCCAGAACACAAAAUAUGACGGAAGAAUGGGAUCUACUCAAGUUACAAAUUACAAAUUAAUAGCUUAUAACCCGUGAUUGUUACUCCUUCUGUUCUUUUUUAUUAGUCGUUUUGACUUUUUACACGUAUUUUGAGAUAUAAUAAAAACGUAUUUUUACAUUUUUAUUUUUUAAAUUUAAGGAUACCUAUAAACCUGGAUAUAAACCAACCGAUCAACCUUUUGAUAUUCGUUAUUAAUAAUUAAUAAUAUAAUAUAAAACAUAUUAUAAGUUAAAAAGACGCGUAUACCCAAAUACCGAUCCAUCAUACUAACCUAAUUUUUAAUGUUUUGUUUUAAAAGAUAAUAAUAAAAUAUAGUAUAAUAUUUUAUUAAUUAUAAACGUUCAUGGGUCGAAUACUAACCGGCUCACCAAACUCGAGUGACCGGGCCGAACAAUUGACCAACUGAACUUUUCAUGUUUCGGCUUUAAUGGUAUGAUAAUAUAAUAGUAUAAUAUAGAUUUAUAAUAUUACUUUUAAAGUGAGACUAUUAAAGUAUUUUAAAAUAAUGUUAAAGUAGCCCUUGUUAAUUAUAGAAGCUCGGCUUUUUAGUUAGAAAAUCUAAAAAAGAUAAUGUGUUUUAGUUAAAAAGGUAAUUACUAUGUUGCUCGAUGUUAUUUUAAAAGAUUGGGUUUUUUUAUUUUGAAAAUAUAAAAAAGAUGAUACUUGAUGUUAUUUUGAAAGAUUGAGUUUUUUUAUUUAGAAAGUAUAAAAAAAUGAUAUAUUUUAGUUAAAAAAAUAACUGGUUAUAUAGAUAGGCCCGUAUUUUGGCCCAAGUACCGACCGACCAAACUUUUAAUGUUUGAGCUUUAAUAGUACUAGCUUAUAGCCCGUGCAAGGCACGGGAGCUUUUUAAUUAUAUAUAAACUUUUUAAAUAUAUUUUAAAUGGUGUGAAGAAAUUUAAUUUAUAAAUAAUAAAUUAAAAUUCGAAAUUAUAAUUUGUUUGUAAGUUAGAACUGUGGUAAAUACAUCAUCACAACCAUUAAUGGCUUCAAAUAAACUAUUGUAAUGAAGUCAUUCCUUUUCUCGUAUGUACCCUGCCAAAGUAUUAAAUUCUUUCUAUCAAAUUUUAAUAUAUUUUGAGUGGAAUACGUUAUUGGCAACUCUUAUUAGAUUAUAUUUAUAAAUGUAUUUUAUAUUAGAAUUAUUAUAGUGUGAUUUAAAUAGCCCGCAAGGGUUGGUUUAGCUGGUUAAAGAGAGGACAUGCAUCCUCUUGCGCACCCGAAGGGUAGCGGCUGCGGGUUCUUAGGUUAAAAAAAUAAAUAAGAAAAUAUAAUGUGAUUUAAAUAUUUUUCAAAAAAUUUAUAUGGUUCUAAAUUAAAAUUGAUAAACAUAAUUUGUUUUUGAAUUAAGAAAAAGAAUCAUAAACAUGCAAUAAGAAGGUAGAAUCUAUUUUGGAUUAAGAAAAAGUUUUUGUAUUUGCUAAUCACAUAAAUACGGCUUAUUAAUUUUAGAAUAUAUUAUAAAAAAAAUUGUGACGGUUCGAUUUAUAUGAUUCUACGAAUAAAACUGGUAGGAAAUAUUUAUUUGGUAUUAAAAAAAUCAAAUACACGUGAAACACAGAAUUUGUUUUGGAUUCAGAAAAGGAAUUAUAAACAUGCAAGGUGAUCUAUCAGUUGCCUUGUAGAACAGAAGUUAAUUUUCCAAUCUAACGGUGCUUAUUUGUUCAAUAUAAGAUCCAACGGAUGAUAAGCUUUUGUACCAGAGGACCAUGCGACCAAAUUAUCUCCCUUACGCUUAUUAUAUAUAAGUAUAUAAUAAUAGUAAGUAUAGAUAGGCCUGUAUUUUGGUCCAAGUACCGACCGACCAAACUUUUAAUGUUUCGGUUUUGAUAGUAUAGUAUAGAUAGAUAUCUCAUUGUAUAACUUUUACGUGUUAAAUUUAUAUAAAUAUAAAAAUUAAUAUAUAACUUUUUAUUUGAAAUUAUACCAUACCAUACCACACGUAAAAAAUAUUUUGGUGAAGUCCCGUGGAGUAAACGAAUGGAGUCAAGAACCAUCACUCACAAAUGGCAAGAUUGAGCAGAAAUCAAGAACGUUCACUUUCACAUAUUGUAAGGUUGAAGGCUUGGGAGACAAGAGAUCGGUUCAAACUUCUUCCUAAAAUCAUACUCCCUCCGUUCCAUAAUAAGAGUCGCUUUGAUUUUUUACACGUAAUUUGAGGUGUAAAAAAAUAUGUCUCUACAUAUUAUUUUUCAAAUUUUCUUUUUUUGAAUAAAAAUAUAGAUGUUAAACUUUUAUUCAGAAAAAGAAAUUUUGAAAAAAUAAUAUUUAGAGAUAUGUUUUUUAACACCUCAAAUUACGUGAAAAAAAGUCAAAGCGACUCUUAUUAUGGGACGGAGGGAGUAAUACUCAAAACAUUAAAUGCGUCGAAAAGUAACAUUCGGUAUAUGGUAUGUCGUGUGUUACCACAAAUCCAACGCAACAUGUGCAAUUCUGUUGUCUCUGGUCGACGCUCGAGGCUUUUGAGUUUUUCAAAAUGGCUGACACUCAAAUCAUAUAGUAAUGACGAUAUGAUUGCCACUCGAUAAAAUUUACCUUUCAACUACAAAAGUACAUUUUUUAAAUCAUCAUAUACAUGUAUCUCAAUUUUUUUGAUUUUACAAUUUAUCUCAUUUUUUCUUUUUAAUCAAUUUAUAACUUUUUUACUAACAUUAUACUUUCUCCGUUUUAGUAUAAUACUCCCCGUGACGCUUUUUAGUUGUCAUGUUUGAAUUUUGACAAGUCAAAUUGACCAAAAUUUGACUAAAUUUAUUAAUAUUUUAUUAAUUAAUAAAAUAAUAAAUGUCACCGAAAAUAACUUUCAAUCUACUUUGAUAUGUAAUUUUCCAGUAUUUUAAAAUAAUAUAAGAGGUACUUAUAAUUUUUGAUCAAAAACUAGUAAAUUUGAUCAAUAAAAUAAAAAUGGGACAACUAAAAAGAGACAGAAAGAGUAGUUUUAAGAACAGAGCAACAUCGGUCUUCUAAUUAAUAUUUUAAAAUUUUAGGUGCGUAAUUAAAUUUAGUUGGGUGGAAACUGAACCUGUGAAAGGUUACCUUAGCUAUUCUCGCUGCUCAUAACAUUUAAACUAUAUGUUGAUAUAUAGGGUAAGGCUCAAAUUGGAACCAAUACUAGUAUUAAAAUUAGAACUUAGGAACACACCCGGAACUUGGGAACACACAUGCUUUGAUUGAAAUUUAUACGUAUUAUAUAACUAAAUAAUAAUAAUAAUUGGGUUGAUAAAUUUGCAUGAGCAUUGUUGAAUUUAUAAUAUACAAAAUGCUUUUACUAUAGCAGUAACUGAGUGAACCAGGACACAUUGCUGUACCCAAGUUAGUCAUCAUCUCCAGCUCCGUCGAACACUUCUGCAUCUCCACCACCCAAAUCUUGAUCCCAAGUUAGUCAUCGUCUCCAGCUCCGUCGAACCCUUCUGCAUCUCCCCCACCCCAAUCUUGAACAUCUGCUGGCCCAUCAUCGACAUUAACAUCUAUAGCCAUGUCGAAACCAAUAUCAUCAUUAGGGACUUCCUGCAGUUCUGGCAAUGUUUGCCUCACUGAAAAAAUCAGCAUACGGCUUCGAAACCUGAUCAGAGAUAUAAAAUUUAUAAAAUUCUUAAUUAUAUACGCUCCAUUGUUGUAGAAACAAUAAUCUUGAGAUACCAUAUUUGUAUAUACGCCAUGCCAAUUGCCACAUCUUAAUAAAACUGUAACUAGAAAUUUCAUUCUCCAUUCUUGUCUUUAGCCAAAUAAGGAAAAAUUUAAAUGUUCACUUAAAUUUUCAAAAUUCAAAUCAGUUGAUGUAGAUGUAGUCGAAGAAGAUAUAGAAACUUUGUUUCUGAGUGAUGGUAAAGGAGAUGAGUCUAAAAAGAUUUAACCACCUUAUAAAGAGCAGUCCUCUUUUCUGCACUCGAUGAGAUUCCUCUUUUCUGCACUCUCGAUGAGAUUCUUCCAGUGCUCGUCUUUUCUCAAAGUUGAAGCAGAACCCACAACCUGAAUAAACAAAGAGGCAGCUGCUGUUAUAUAAGCAAAGCUAUAUAAGUGUACUGUAUACAGUUCUGAAAAAAAUUAAAAUAAGCGCUUCAAAUUUAUUACCCAAACAGAAGACCUUGCUCUGGUAAUUCCGACAUUCAUUCUCCGAGAAUCAGAAACAAAUCCGAUGCCUUUAUCUUUGCUUGCCCUGACACAUGAAAAUAUAGCAACAUCUUUUUCUCUUCCCUGCAUUCGGAACACGAUACAUUUAACAAAAUUUACAACUUUUAGAACGAGGAAUACAAGUAAUGCGCAAGAUGCAUCCGGUGAUUAUAAAUUCAAAUAAAAUCUCAAGACGAAUAUAGAGCCGUAUUAAUCUCAACCAAUGAAUAGUAAAUUUUUAUUUCGAAGAGAAUAAAUUUGUUAGCAAAUCAAAGAACCAUAAAGUGAAAAAUUGCCUAAACAUGAAGCGGAAAGAAAUUUUUUUACUUUUACCUGGAAUCCAUCCACAGUGUUGAUGUCUACAAACUUCUUUGAAUCUUCACCAAAGGCAUCCUUGAACUUAUCACGGAAGAGGCUUACUUGAGAUCUAUAGGGAGAUAUUAUAGCAAUUUGAGAGCUCGACUUGAGCUCUACAAAUCUAGCUAAUAACUUGUGAUACAUAAGCACAACAAACUCAGCCUCGUCAACAUUUUCCCAAGAGCGGGACUCUUUUCGCUCAUGUAAAUCAAAAAAACAGAAAGAACCAAAGCAGCUGUAUAUGUGCCAUGCACGUCUAGUUUCACUUUCAACAGCAGGACCUAGCAUAAAAGUAUCCUAACCUAAAUUUAGAUGUACUGAGUAUACACUCUCACACACUCAAGUAAAUAUCUAUAAUCUUCCACAGAUAUACUACAAUGUGUUCCACUAGAAUUUUCAAGGGAACUUAGAUAUAAGAUAUGUCUGCCAAGUUAAUGAAGAGCUGAUGUCCCCAAAAGGAGGUAAAAGAGACAAAAGUAAGGGAAGAACCAGUGGCGGACCAUGAACUGUAAUAAGCGGGCUAAGUGUACUUUUAAGAAAUCACGGAUGAGAAAAAAACAUUUCAAUACAUUAACAUUAACAUCAUUCAAAUUCAUUACAUAUAAUAUAAAAACAAUUAUUACCAUGACAUUCUUCUAGGUGCCAUAUUUUGAAAUCUCAUUAUAAUGUCUUUGACAUCAAUUGAAUUUUUGGGGGGUUAAUUAAUUUUUUACAAUUUAAGGUUCAAGGUUGAUUAUAUCUUCUCCGUGAUCUAUCAGAAGUUAGUUAAGCUUAUUGUGAUACUUAGUUGAAAAAUCAAAAAGAUUAUGUACCUGAGAACUCUCUCCUUCGUUACACCUACGGCAAGUAUUUCUUGCACAAAGCAAGGGGAGCAGGAUCCUGUUCUUGCACAUCAAGUAAAUCCAGUAAAACAGAUGCAGUAGAUGCAUCUGCUGCAAAGCCGCGACCAAGCAUUUCAUCCAUGAGUACACCUGCUUCAUAGUAAUUCUUAUUCUGUAAACAACCGCGGAUAAGCAUGUUGUAUGUGACAUCACUAGGCAAGCAAUCAUGAGCUUCCAUUUCCCUGAAUAGUUCAUUUGCUUCAUCCAAUAACCCUUCAUGACAAUAUGCUUGGAUCAUCACUGUGUAUGUCUUGACAUUAGGUCGCAAACCUUUCGCAGGAAGGUUGUCAAAAAGGCUUCUUGCAUUCUCGAGGUGUCCAUUUUUGCUUAGUCCAUCAAUCAGAAUAGUGUAAACCUGUAUAUCAGCAACUAACCCACUGGACUCUAGUAUUUGAAAAAACGAUAGUGCUUCAAAUACAUAACAAUUCUGGCAAAGACCAUGCAACAAGAUACGACAUGUCACAUUAUUUAACUCAACACCUUGGUUAAUCAUCUUUUCCAUAAAAAACUUACGUGCUUCAACAUGCCUGCCCACAUGAAAAAAACCUUGCAGUAUAGUACUGUAAGUCUCAAUAGUUGGGGUUAAACCUUCAGAGGGCAUUUGUUGAAAAAGAUCUAUGGCUAUAUCCACUUUAAACUUUUUACAAUAACCGUUGAUGAGGAUAUUAUAGCUAAAAGUAUUAGGCAAUAUUCCCUUUCUCUUCAUGCUUUCAAACACUGCUAAUGCUUUAUCAACCUCUCCUCGCAAGCAGUAUCCAUCCAUGAGUGAGCUGUAAGUGACUACAUUCUCCAUUCUUGUCUUCUAGCCAAAUAAGGAAAAAUUUAAAUGUUCACUUAAAUUUUUAAAAUUCAAAUCAGUUGAUGUAGAUGUAGUAGAAAAGGAUAUCGAAACUUUGUUCUGAGUGAUGGUAAAGGAGAUGCAAAGCAAAUUUAGUCUAAAAACAUUUAACCACCUUAUAAAGAGCAUUCCUCUUUUCUGCACUCUCGCUGAGAUUCCUCUUUUCUGCACUCUCGGUGAGAUUCUUCCAGUGCUCGUCUUUUCUCAAAGUUAGAGCAGAACCCACAACCUGAAUAAACAAAGAGGCAGCUGCUGUUAUAUAAGCAAAGCUAUAAGUGUACUGUACACAGUUCUGAAAAAAAAAAAAAAUAAGCGCUUCAAAUUUAUUUCCCAAACAGAAGACCUUGCUCUGGUAAUUCCGACAUUCAUUCUCCGAGAAUCAGCAGAAAAUCCAAUGCCUUUAUCUUUGCUUGCCCUGACACAAGAAAAUAUAGCAACAUCUUUUUCUCUUCCCUGCAUUAGGAACAGGAUACAUUUAACAAAAUUUACAACUUUUAGAACGAGGAAUACAAGUAAUGCGCAAGAUGCAUCCGGUGAUUAUAACUUCAAAUAAAAUCUCAAGACGAAUAUAGAGCCAUAUUAAUCUCAACCAAUGAAUAAUAAAUUUUUAUUUUAAAGAGAAUACAUUUGUUAGCAAAUCAAAUAACCAUAAAGUGAAAAAUUGCCUAAACAUGAAGCGGAAAGAAAUUUUUUUACUUUUACCUGGAAUCCAUCCACAGUGUUGAUGUCUACAAAUUUAUUUGAAUCUUCACCAAAGGUAUCCUUGAACUUAUCACGGAAGAGGCUUACUUGAGAUCUAUAGGGAGAUAUUAUAGCAAUUUGAGAGCUCGACUUGAGCUCUACAAAUCUAGCUAAUAACUUGUGAUACAUAAGCACAACAAACUCAGCCUCGUCAACAUUUUCCCAAGAGCCACUAUUUGAAGGCUGGGACUCUUUUCGCUCAUGUAAAUGAAAAAAACAGAAAGGACCAAAGCAGCUGUAUAUCUGCCAUGCACGUCUAGUUUCACUUUCAACAGCAGGACCAUCCUCCAAGGCCUACUUGUAGAAUUCUUUAGAAGGAAAGCCUCUUAUCUGCAAGCAGAUACACUUGUGUACAGUAAUAUUAUACAGAUGAUAUAAGAUAUCAACAGCCCUUUUUUAUAUAUUAAAAAUAAAAUAAUAUACACUUAUAGAAUUGGCAGUGCUUGGGGCAGCUAUAUGUUGCAGCUCUGAGACAACCGACAAGUCAAACAAAGAUAUAAAGAUACAAGUCUUCAUGGUAGUUUGGUCCUUAACAUCUGUACCGGAUACCCCACUUCUUGAAAUCUCUUAAACAAGCUCAUCCUGUACCUAUUCAAUAGUGUUAGGGAAAAAAUUAUGCAACAUAAUUACAUAAGAUGAAGAUGAUGAUUGAUAAACCACCAUGUUUAAAACUAGUUUAUACACUACUUUGAACAUAUAUGCAUUCCUUACUUAAAUUUCUCGGCAACAGGAGAAAUCACAGUGGCUGGAGGUUGAAGAGGAUCACCAACCUAAUUAGAUAAGAAAUGAUGUCUGAGAAAGUAAUCUCAAAACAGAAGUGGUAAAAUUUAUCAGCUAGCAAAUUGAUAUAACCAAAUUGGCAUAAUAUAAACCUUUUAUCUUCACUUCCUAGUUGCCAAAAGAUUAUGACAAAGUGUUUAGAACGGAUCGAGUGUUCGGCACGUAUUUUUAUAUGAGUUUUAAAAUGUGUGCCGAGCACUCCAUUCCAAACGAUAAGAAUUGAGGGGAUGGAGAGAGUAUAUUCUAACGAGAAUGAUGGUCUCUUUCACAUAAAUCCUAAAAUAUUGGUAACUAUUAAAAAAAUCUUAAAUUAAUAAUUAAAACACAAAUUAUCAAUUUAGUCAUUUUUUCUAUUUAUUUUUUUUGAGAAACUUAUGGAAAUAAUAUAUAUUCAUAUAUAUGACCUAGGAAGCAUGAGUGCGGGUGCGGGAGUGCGGGUGCGCAGUACGUGGAUACGGGAAUUCGUCAAAUUCCAAAAUAUGGGGAUACGGGUACGGGGGGAUACGGCAAAUAUUAAAAUAUUAAAAAUAUUAUAUAUAUAUAUCUAUGUUUGUGUAAAAUAACCCUUACCUUAUAAGGCAGGGUUCUGCAGCAGAACUUAAGUAUGAGUUAGGGUUCUGCAGCAGAACUUCACAUGCAAAAAAUGUCAAUAUCUAUGUAUUAGAUUUUAGAAUUAUUUUUGAACACACACAACGAUGAAAAAAUAUGAAAAAAACAUGUAUUUAGAUUUAGAUCCUAAAAAUCUAUUUAAAAUUUAGGGUUCCGCAGCAGAACCUUGGUGGUUCUAUGGUUCUAUUUUAAGGACUGGUUCUCUACACACACAUGAGCAAUUAUAUAUACUUACAAUCUAUAGACACACAUGAGCAGAUAUUGCAGAAAACACACUUACCAAUCGACAUACUUGAGCUGGAGAUGCUCUGCUCUCUCUCGUACAGGUACUCAAUUAGUCUAAUUAGGUUUUGAUCCCUCUUUUCUUUCUUUUGACCAACUAAUUUUAAGUUUUUUUUUAUAAAAAAAAAGUUGUUAAAAAUUACGAUUUGUGCCACUGCCGCACCCCAUCCCCGCACCCCCGCGUAUCCCCAUCGCUGCCUCCAUCGAUACGCCAUGUGGCGUAUCCCGCCGCACCCCCGCACCCCCAAGUAUCCCCUACGCAGUUCUUUACCCAGAUGAAGUAUCCCUGCUUUCUAGUAUAUGACUAUCAAAACGAGCCUCUAUUGAAAACAGUAAGUUAACCGCUUCGAUAAAAGUUGGAUGAAUUUAAUGUGACGUUUGAAUAUUAUUAGUGACCUUUUUGACAUAAAUAGUUGUAAAAGAAAAUGAUCUUCGGUCUUGUAGAUAAAAAUAUUUUAAAUAUUUGUUCGAAUAAAAAGAAAUUAUUAAAUAUUAUAUUAUUAUUUUAUAAUUUAAUUGCAUUUAGAUUUUUGGGAUUGUCCCAUGUUCCCGAGACGUCCUCAAACUUGUGCAACAAUUGUUUGGCCUUACUGGGCAACAUACGUUAUAAUCCAAAUUAUUAUAGUUUUCAAGCAUGGCCUCAAGUUCUCUCACCAGGAGUACCAUUUGUGUUUUCUGUUUGUACUUACCGGCUUAGAAUACGGAUAAUAUGUGUGUGAGAGAUAAAGCAAGUCCGGUGCGGAACUCAACUGCUGAUGUGGAAGAGAAAGACUGGGACCUGUAUUGUUUAGGUGGCAAGGAAAAAAAAAAUGAAUGACAGAGCACUUGGGUUCAGCAUUUCACAGCACUUGCUCUUAGUUCCCAAAGAUGAAAAGUGUUUCUCAGUUUCACUAUUAGCUUAUAACUCAAUGCUUUAAAGUUUAAGGCUAAUUAUAUCUUCUUCUUGAUCUAUCUUAUCCGAUAUGUUAGUCUCAUGCAAGUCCCUGUAACAACAUUGCAAAUAUAUUUAAGAACUUACUGGGAUCGCAGAUCCGGUAUGUCAGAUUCAGAAUUGCAAAAUCCUUUGAAAAGCAUACAAUAUCCACAAAGUUACGAGCUGAAUACCGCUGUAGGGAUGUAUACAAUUGUAUCCACUGUGUUGCCUUAAUCUUGCAUCUUACUCUAAAAACCAACAAAAAGUUCCACCCAGCUGACAUUAAAGACCUGGGCUGACUGGUCUGAUCAGCCGUUCAAGUUCUUUAUCUGAGAGCACUGGCCAGGUGAAUGGUUCUGCAAUGCACUGAGUAAGUCUGCAGACUCGGAAUCAGAUGACCUCAACUAAGGUCAUCAGAGGUCAGUAUCUAAGAGUAGUAAGAGAGGUGAUAUAGUGAAGAAGAUAAAUUAGAAGUCCAUGACCAGGGACGGAUUAUAGGAUGCACAAGACACUCGCUGCAAGCAAGGAACUCGCUCCACCUAGCCCCAUCGGCAAGGCUUCAUAAAGCCACGAAAAACAUCAUAUAUAUUUCCUGAGUUCGAAACCUUACUCUCUCCCAAAAUACUUGAUAAAAUAAUCCAUCAAAAUAUAGGUACACAUCCAAUAUACAUUAGCAUUGUGCUUCACUUAUGAAUAGUUUACAGUUUGUCGAGGCUGCCAAUCUCUCUAGUCUCUUUAAUUGAUUUGCAGUUCUUUCUUUUUUUGCUAAAUCUAUUCAACUCAGUGGCUUAGAAUUUUAAACGGACUACUAUCCUGCAGCAUUAGCCAAUUCAAGACUACUUAAUUCUUGAUAAAAGUGGUAACCGAAGUUACCUAUGGAAAGAAACCCAUACACAUACAAGCUCUUUUACUCAUUGCGCUGAUAAUUUCAGACUGCAGUUAAGCUAUAUUAAGCCUUUUAGUUAUUUCAUGUAAUAAAGACAUUAAGAUAAAUCAACAUUCUAUAGACAAAAAGACGAUGUAGUGCAGAGGAGCUCCAUUCUUAACUUUAAAUUCAACAAAAUUAUAUCAAAAUAACACCCAAUCAUUUGUGAUCAAUCAGAGAAGAACUGCAAAUUUAACAACAAUGCAUUUGAAAUGAGUGCUGCUAGGGUUGCAGACCCUUGAAAUUAAAAUGUUGGAAAAUUGAAGAUUAUGUACCUAAGCAAUCCUCACUUUGCUUGACCUAUGGCAGAUACUUCUUAUGCAAAGCAAGAAGAGCAGGAUCCUGUUCUUGUGAUUCAAGUAGGUCCGGUAACAAGGAGGCGGUAGAAUGUAGAUGCAGUAGCUGAGAAGCCCCAAGCACGCAUCUCAUAGGACACGGCUUCAGCAUACUUCUUAUUGUAAAAACAGACACAAUAAGUGUGUCAUAGGUAACAUCAGUCGACAAACAACCAUUAAAAGUCCACCAACAAUUCAUACGCCUCAUGGAGUAAUCCCUCUACACAUACUGCUUGUAAGAAAAUAACAUUGCAAUAUAGUACUGUAACUCUCAAUAGUUGCUUUGAAACCUUCAAAAAUGCUGGCAAAAUCGAAAAUAUUAUGUACCUGAGAACUCUCUCCUUCAUUACACCUACGGCAAGUACUUCUUGCACAAAGAAAGCAGAGCAGGAUCCUGUUCUUGCACAUCAAGUAAAUCCACAAAAACAGAUGCAGUAGAUGCAUCUGCUGCAAAGCCGCGACCAAGCAUUUCAUCCAAGAGUACACCUGCUUCAUAGUAAUUCUUAUUCUGUAAACAACCACGGAUAAGCAUGUUGUAUGUGACAUCAUUAGGCAAGCAUUCAUUAGCUUCCAUUUUCCUGAAUAGUUCAUUUGCUUCAUCCAAUAACCCUUCAUGACAAUAUGCUUGGAUCAUCAUUGUGUAUGUCUUGACGUCAGGCCGCAAACCGUUCAAAGGAAGGUUGUCAAAAAGGCUUCUUGCAUUCUCGAGAUGUCCAUUUUUGCUUAGUCCAUCAAUCAGAAUAGUGUAAAUCUGUAUAUCAGGAACUAACCCACUGGACUCCAGUAUUUGAAGAAAGGAUAGUGCUUCAAAUACAUAAGAAUUCUGGCAAAGACCAUGCAACAAGAUACGACAUGUCACAUUAUUAAACUCAACACCUUGGUUAAUCAUCUUUUCCUUAAAAAAUUUACGUGCUUCAACAUGCCUGCCCGCAUGAAAAAAACCUUGCAGUAUAGUACUGUAAGUCUCAAUAGUUGGCGUUAAACCUUCAGAGGGCAUUUCUUGAAAAAGAUCUAUGGCUCUGUCCACUUUCUUCUUUCUACAGUACCCGUUGAUGAGGAUAGUAUAGCUAAAAGUAUUAGGCAAUAUUCCCUUUCUCUUCAAGCUUUCGAACACUGCUAAUGCUUUAUUAACCUUUCCCUGCAAGCAGUAUCCAUCCAUUAGUGAAUUGUAAGUGACUAAAUUAGGAUAUACUCCUCUUUGAAUCAUCAACUCUAUCACAUCCUCCGCAUCUUCAAUCAUUCCUUCUUUGCAAUACGCAUCAACCAAUAUACUGUAAGUAAAAACAUCUCGAGAAAUGUUCCUAACAUCCAUCUCCUCGAGCAAUUGUUUGACAUCAUGCCAUCGAUUAUUGUCACACAGACCUUGAACUAAGGAGUUGUAGGUCAUAACAACGGGAGAUACACCUUUCCUUGUCAUUUGGUGGAGAAGACCCAAUGCUUGAUCAACUAAUCCAUGUUUACAUAAACAAUCAAUAAGUGUGGUGUAAGUUACGGUAUCAGGCUUGCAACCUUUCUUCUCCAUAAUUUUGAACAACUUAACAGCCACAGAAGGAUUCCCUCUCUUGCAGAUGCCGUCAAUGAUUAUGUUAUAGGUAACAACAUCGGGUUGAAUAAGUUGAAAUCUGAUGAGGUUCUGGAACAAAAGCUGAGCCUCUUGAAGCAUAUCUUGGGAAAUAAGGCCCCUGAUGAGAGUGUUAUAAGUAACCACAUCAGGGACAAAACCGUGCUUGAUGAUUCCAGCCANNNNNNNNNNNNNNNNNNNNNNNNNNNNNNNNNNNNNNNNNNNNNNNNNNNNNNNNNNNNNNNNNNNNNNNNNNNNNNNNNNNNNNNNNNNNNNNNNNNNNNNNNNNNNNNNNNNNNNNNNNNNNNNNNNNAGUAAAUGUUGAAGACGAGCGUGAGAUGGAUCAGAGGAAUAAGGGAAACGGGGUUUGGGUUUAAAGGGAAUAUUAGGGUUAGGGUUAGUGGAGAAGUGAGAAACUGCAAUAACAGAAUGUCUUAGGAAUCGAGAAUUUGAGAUGACAAAUUUCUUCAUCGUCGUCAUCAUCAUGAUAUCUAUACUUGUUGGACACUCAAAAAAUUAGCCGGCAGAGCAGAGCAGAUGAUAUCAAUUCUUUUCAAUAGUGAUCGAAACUGAAUCACAGUAUAAACGGCGAAAACUUAGAACUAAUCAACAAGAAACAAAACAAACAACACUUGGCAGUUUUUCGUAAAACAGAUGGAAGAAACCCUAACUUGGGCAACUUGAACGUGUAUAUCUCUUUUUAAUUUUAACCUAUUUAGUUCAAAACAAACAACAAGAUAGACAAUAUAGUUUUUCUUAUAAAUGAUGAAAUUUAAAUUAUGAUAUAAAUAUUUAUUAAAAAACACAUUAUCACAUAUGUAUAUUCGAAAAACAUUUACACAUAGAUAAUAAAAAUAUUUUAUUAUUUAUAUUACGUAAUAACAAUAUGUAUAAAAAUACUGUAAAAGUUAAAUUUUUAAGAGGAAAUAUAAUCAAGUAUAAUAUGAUAUAAUCAAUUCAUUAUCAUAGAACUGAACGUGCAAAAAAUGACAGCAUCCAAUAGUAUUAAACAAAUAAUAAAUAAGGUUAAAUAUUAACGGGAAAAUAGAUAUUUUUGUCACUCAACUUAUUGUGUAUUUAGAAAUUUACGACCCAAUUAUAAUUUUUUUUAUUUUACUCACUGAUGUUAGGUUCGGAUUAUUUUUUUUGCCACUAAAGUUAGGUUUACCUUUGAUUUAUUAACAUUAUAUUAAUUUUUUGUAGCAUUAUUAAAAUGUAGUGGUAAUCUGGAAUAUUUUGAUAAUUUGAUAUAUGUCUAUUAACUUGUUAUAUACCUAAUAUUGUUUAGGUGAUAAGAGUUUGACAAACAUUUUAUGGCUUCUAAAAAAUGUAGUUUAAAAUCCCCAUAACAUAUUGUUCACGCAGUAAGUAAUUUUUGGAUAAAUAUACUGCACAAAUGGCUUCAAAUAUAUGUUUUGGUAAUUGAAAGGAGCCGGCAUGAAGGAGAAAAGUAACAUUUCACAAAGACUUGCAAAUGCAUUUGCCUCUCACCUAAAUAAAAUAAGCUGGAUGCAUCUUUUAAACAUAGUUCAAAGGAAGCAUAUUUUUUCAUGACAAGCAUAAACAUUAUAAUCAUAAACAUUGUCUGCACAAGGCCAUAGUUUGUGUUUUGAUCGAAGAUAAGAAUCUUAUAGAGUCAAAUCAAACUUGUAAGUUUGCAUGCAAUUCUAUUCUAACAUUCUUACAUAAUAUCUGGCAAGUCUGUGUCAUUAAAAUUUACUGGAAAUGAAAGUGUUUGCAUAUCUUUACACAAAAUGUGUAGACGUAAAUUGUAAAGUUGUAAUCACAUAUCAUUAAAAUAUCCCAUCUAGUUCAGGAACAACCCGUACACAUUGGGGACAACACAUGUUAGUGUGUUGCUUGGUAGAUUUUGAGAUAAAUCGGUGUUAAACAUUUCAGAUUUAUUUGUAAAAAACUGCAUUCGUAAUGGCUAUUUACAUCCUCUCUCACAGGAAUUUCUACCUCGGAGAUUUAUUUGAUAGAAAGCUCUUUUGCAUAGGUCUCAUUUGCAGUGACAUAAUGCUUUGCAGUAGGAGCCAAUAAGGAGUCUGUCUUGCCAUUUGAUCAUCUAGACAACUUUUCUUUGAGGGCGUUCAAAGGUGCGUAAUCAACAUUAAAGUAUGAUGAUCCUUGUUGCAUCUGUGCUUGACAAUGUAUCAUUGUGGGUGAGUCUGCAAUAUUAGCAGUAAAUAAUUGGUUAC